ensembl:lncRNA
CCCAAAGGGCCGCCAAAGCCGUGAGGGUCCAGUAUGAGGAGCUUCAGCCGGUGGUCACCAUCCAGGUGAAACAGGAAACACCUGGGGACUUUUAGAGUAAAACUUAAUCUAGGCUCACAAGCCCCCCAAAAAAAGUAAAAAAAAAGCUUCUUGUUGGUUUUCUUGACAGGAGGCUAUUUCUGCCCAGUCCUUCUAUCAGCCAAUCAGAACCCUCCAGAGAGGCGACCUGGAGGCAGGGUUUAAACAGGCCGAUCAUGUCUUGGAGGGUGAGAUGCAUAUAGGAGGUCAGGAACAUUUCUACCUGGAGACAAACGUAACUCUUGCAGUUCCUCGAGGAGAAGAUGGAGAGAUGGAGCUCUUUGUUUCUACUCAGGCUGCUGCUAAAACACAGGUAACAAUACUUUGAGACACGCGUAACAUUACUCUGAACACAGAUAACAAUACUCUAAACAUAGGUAACAAUACUCUGAACAUAGAUAAGCGUACUCUAAAACCCAGGUAACUGCAAUGUGACCCCCAAACCACUAGGUGGAGGCACCUGUGGUUGCAUUUCUGGAGAGAAAUAUUUAGUUCAAUUCAUUUUAUUUUGUAUAGCCCAAAAUCGCAAAUUAGAAAUUUGCCUCAGAGGGCUUUACAGUCCGUACACAUGCGACAUCCUCUGUCACGAAAUCCACCAUCGGCACAGAAAAAACUCCCCAAAAAAUGAAAAAACCCUUCCAAGAGGGAAAAAAGGGAAGAAACCUUUGGGAGAACGUCAGAGGAGGGAUCCCACUCCCGGGAUGGACAGACUACAAUGGAUGCCAUGUGUACAGAAUGAACAAUGUAUAUUACAUGCAAUUCCUAUGACAGAAAUGAUUCAAGUAAUUGUGAGUAGUAAGCCAGGCGCACAGCAGGACCACUGCAGGGGCAACCACCAUCACAUAGAACCACCAUCAGAUAGAACCACCAUCAGAUAGGACCACCAUCUACAGAAGCCUGUGGGGAGGGAGAGCACAGAGACUUUAGGAGAGGGUAAUGUUGGUUUAUGAGUACAGUAAUAUGAUUAAUAUCUAAAAUAAUAAUGAUGAUGAUGACGAUGGCAGCAGCAGGCGUCAGCAGGGCCACGGUAGGUGUCAGGACCAGGGUCCAGAAGGAACUACGAUCUAGAGAGACCUGCUAGGGGAGAAAGCACAAAAACAACUCCCGGAAAGAAGCUGAAUUAGUCAUGUGCAUUAAUAAAACGUGAAUUAUGGUAGAACGAGAGCGUGAGAGAGGAGCUCGGUGUGUCCUAAGAAGUCCCCCGGCAGUCUAAGCCUAUAGCAGCUUAACUAAGGGCUGGUCUGGGCUAACCUGAGCCAGCCCUAACUAUAGGCAGAAUCAAAGAGGAAAGUUUUAAGUUUUACUUUAAAAGAGCUGACCGAAUCUGCCCCCCGGACUGAAAGUGGAACCUGGUUCCACAAAAGAGGAGCUUGAUAACUGAAGGCUCUGGCCCCCAGCCUACUUUUUAAAACCAUAGGAACAACAAGUAACCAGCAUCUAUGGAGCGCAGCUGCCUUGUAGGGCAAUAAGGUGUUACAAGAUACGACGGUGCCUCACCACCAAGUGCCUUGUAGGUGAGGAGAAGUACCUAAAAAUCUGUUCUUGAUUUAACAGGGAGCCAGUGCAGAGAAGUUAAUAAAGGAGUGAUAUGAUCCCUUUUCUUAGUUCUUGUUAAUACACGUGCUGCAGCAUUCUGAAUCAACUGAGUCUCACUUUGAGACAGGAAGUUCCUGAUUUUUGAUAUGUUACGUAGAUGAAAAAAGGCAGUCCUUGAAGUCUUCUUUAUAUGCGAGUUGAAGGUCAUAUCCUGGUUGAAGAGAACUCCCAUCAUAAAAGACAUUCCAUCCAUAAAAACUGUAUCACGUGACAGCUGGCUUCAAAGGCGCUCUGGGCCUAUCAAGAUAAGAUUUUUUCUGAUUGUAGCAUCAGGAAAUUGCCGGUCAUCCAAGUUUUGAUGUCUCCAAGACAUUGAAGUCUAACAAGCUGGUCCGUCUCUUCUGGUUUGAUCGACAGAUACAGUUGAGUAUUGUCUGCAUAACAAUAGAAGUUUAUGCUGUGUUUCCUGAUAAGAUCGCCCAAAGGGAGCAUAUAGAGGGUAAAUAAAAUCGGUCCAAGUACAGAACCUUGUGGGACUCCGUGACCAACAUUGGUGGUCUUUGAGGAUUCACCGUUUACAAGCACAAACUGGGAUUGAUCCGAUAAGUAGGAUUUAAACCAGCUGAGUGCAGUUCCUUUGAUACCAAUUAAAUGUUCUAGUCUCUGCAACAGGAUACAAUGGUCUAUGGUCAAAUGUGAUCAAAUGCGGCACUGAAGUCCAGCAAGACAAGAAAAGAGAUGAGUCCUUGGUCCGAUGCAAGUAGAAGAUCAUUCGUAAUUUUCACCAGUGCUGUUUCUGUUAGGAAGGAGAUUUGACCCAGCACACAGAGAUCACACAGGACUGAUAAACUGUAGAAGGGAGUUUAAUGACUGGUGAGGACGCCAGAGGGACGGAGGCAGGUGGCACGGCAGGUCAGAGGAGGGACAGCAGAAUCUGGACAAAGGAAUCAGGGGAGCCAGGAUACAAAGUCAGGUCACCACACAGGGGUGUAUAACGAUCUGGCGCUGGAGAAGCAGACAGCCCGGGUUUAAAUACUGGAGGGCUGAAGCGUGGAAUGGAGAUCAGCUGUGUGGGGACGGUUCCGGAUGACUGGCCACGCCUCUUGUAGGUGGAGACAAACAGCACAGACAGACACACCGGGGAAAAGGAAGGUACAAACACACAGGAUGGGGAGAAAACAGCAGCUGACCCAUAACAGUUUCUGUACCAUGAUGCGCUCGAAAUCCUGACUGGAAAUCCUCGAACAAAGCAUUGUUUUGUAGAAAGUCACAUAAUUGAUUUGCGACGGAUUUCUCAAGGAUCUUAGAGAGGAAGGGAAGAUUAGAGAUAGGUCUGUAGUUAGCCAACACCUCUGGAGCAAGAGUAGGUUUCUUAAGAAGAGGUUUAAUUACAGCUACCUUGAAGGACUGUGGUACAUGUCCUGUCAGCAAAGAC